GUCCAUUUAAGUUUCACACAUGCUCCAGAUAAAUGGAGCAAAAGAAUAGAGAAGCCAACCUUACGAGCUGCAUGAUCUGGAGGGAGAGGGGAGUGUCACUAGGUUCCUAAAUCUGUAUAUAUGAAAAACAUGAAACUUCUAUAACUUCAAUAAAAUUUUAAAAAAUAAAGAAAGAAGAGCUCCAUGGCCUGGUGUUGUAUUUUCAGAGAAUAUGAUCUCUGUUUUUUUUUUUUCUUAUCUUAAAUGAUCAUGGAAUCUGAUUCGUCAUUAAUAAAGGUAAGUAUUGAUCUGGGUAAGCAGUGGAAUAACAGAAGAUGAGGAGGGCAUAAUAUCAGCUCUGUUGGAAAGCAAAACCUUUAGACAAGCUGAUUGCCUCUGACAACAAUAAUAGGUUUAAAAAAGAACAGUAAUAAACUACCUGGACAAGGCACAAAGUCGUUCCUCCAGGAAGAACAUAACCUCCUUUAAUUCUUUACCCUAUUCCCAGGAGAGCCAGACACACAGGAAUGUGCCAUAAAGAUACAGUCAAGCCUUAAGAAAGAAAUAGUCUGACUUGGACAAACCAGUCUAUAACAGUGACAUCCUUAAUGUGCUCAAUGGCUGAGGAGAGAACACAGACAUGAUGCUGAGAUGUGCUCAGCAAGUUGCACGACACCUCCAUUAAGAUAUUGGCUGCUUCCUGACCUUUGGGAGAGUUCUGAGAACAAAGUACAUGCCAUCACAAGACAACCACUCCCAGAGGUUCAGGACUUACGAGAGAUUUUUUCAUAGGAGGGGCAAGGUAUGAAACGGUGUGAUGGCUGAAACACCUGCUCAUGCCAUCUGGAAUUAUGAUCCUAAAUAGUUAUGUGGUCAUGUGACUCACUCAAGUGAGGAGAAAGUAUUAGCCAUUGUCCUUGCUUUUUCAAACUGGGAACCUGGUUUCACCCAAAUAUUCCACUUAGCAUCCUAACUGCCUUGAAAAUUUGAUCUAAAGCAGGUAUUAGCUUCUAAAUGACUGUUUUUUGAUGCAUAGCAAAAGAUAGGACAUUUAGGGUCAGAUUUCCAUAAUCUCUCAGAUCAUUAAAAAUAAUAAAAGUAGCCAGCUGUGUUUUAAAGGGACA
rnacentral:lncRNA from 1 species